GAUGAAGAACGCAGCGAAAUGCGAUACUUGGUGUGAAUUGCAGAAUUCAGUGAAUCAUCGAGUCUUUGAACGCACAUUGCGCCCCCUGGUAUUCCGGGGGGCAUGCCUGUCCGAGCGUCAUUGCUGCCCUCAAGCACGGCUUGUGUGUUGGGCUCCGUCCCCCCGGGGACGGGCCCGAAAGGCAGCGGCGGCACCGAGUCCGGUCCUCGAGCGUAUGGGGCUUUGUCACCCGCUCUGUAGGCCCGGCCGGCGCCAGCCGACAACCCAUCAUCCUUUUCAGGUUGACCUCGGAUCAGGUAGGGAUACCCGCUGAACUUAAGCAUAUCAAUAAGCGGAGGA
rnacentral:misc_RNA from 1 species